rnacentral:rRNA from 1 species
GAUGAACGCUGGCGGCGUGCCUAAUACAUGCAAGUCGAGCGAACAGACGAGUAUCUUGCUCCUCUGACGUUAGCGGCGGACGGGUGAGUAACACGUGGAUAACCUACCUAUAUGACUGGGAUAACUUCGGGCAACCGGAGCUAAUACCGGAUAAUAUAUUGAACCGCAUGGUUCAAUAGUGAAAGACGGUUUUGCUGUCACUUAUAGAUGUAUCCGCGCCGCAUUAGCUAGUUGGUAAGGUAACGGCUUACCAAGGCAACGAUGCGUAGCCGACCUGAGAGGGUGAUCGGCCACACUGGAACUGAGACACGGUCCAGGCUCCUACGGGAGGCAGCAGUAGGGAAUCUUCCGCAAUGGGCGAAAGCCUGACGGAGCAACGCCGCGUGAGUGAUGAAGGUCUUCGGAUCGUAAAACUCUGUUAUUAGGGAAGAACAAAUGUGUAAGUAACUAUGCACGUAUUGACGGUACCUAAUCAGAAAGCCACGGCUAACUACGUG